UACGGGAGGCAGCAGUGGGGAAUAUUGCACAAUGGGCGAAAGCCUGAUGCAGCUAUGCCGCGUGUAUGAAGAAGGCCUUAGGGUUGUAAAGUACUUUCAUCGGGGAGGAAAAAAACAAAACUAAUAAUUUUAUUUCUUGACGUUACCCGAAAAAGAAGCACCGGCUAACUCCGUGCCAGCAGCCGCGGUAAUACGGAGGGUGCUAGCGUUAAUCAGAAUUACUGGGCGUAAAGAGCACGUAGGUGGUUUUUUAAGUCAGAUGUGAAAUCCCUGGGCUUAACCUGGAACUGCAUUUUGAAACUGAAAUACUAGAGUAUCGUAGAGGGAGGUAGAAUUCUAGGUGUAGCGGUGAAAUGCGUAGAUAUCUGGAGGAAUACCUGUGGCGAAAGCGGCCUCCUAAACGAAUACUGACACUGAGGUGCGAAAAGCGUGGGGAGCAAAACGAGGAUUAGGAUACC
rnacentral:rRNA from 1 species